rnacentral:rRNA from 1 species
GAAUUCACUAGUGAUUCAGGCCUAACACAUGCAAGUCGAGCGGUAGAGAGAAGCUUGCUUCUCUUGAGAGCGGCGGACGGGUGAGUAAUGCCUAGGAAUCUGCCUGGUAGUGGGGGAUAACGUUCGGAAACGGACGCUAAUACCGCAUACGUCCUACGGGAGAAAGCAGGGGACCUUCGGGCCUUGCGCUAUCAGAUGAGCCUAGGUCGGAUUAGCUAGUUGGUGAGGUAAUGGCUCACCAAGGCGACGAUCCGUAACUGGUCUGAGAGGAUGAUCAGUCACACUGGAACUGAGACACGGUCCAGACUCCUACGGGAGGCAGCAGUGGGGAAUAUUGGACAAUGGGCGAAAGCCUGAUCCAGCCAUGCCGCGUGUGUGAAGAAGGUCUUCGGAUUGUAAAGCAAUGUAAGUUGGGAGGAAGGGCAGUUACCUAAUACGUGAUGUUUUGACGUACCGACAGAA